AGGACGAACGCUGGCGGCGUGCUUAACACAUGCAAGUCGAACGGUGAAGCCCUUCGGGGUGGAUCAGUGGCGAACGGGUGAGUAACACGUGGGUAAUCUGCCCUGCAUUCUGGGACAAGCCUUGGAAACGAGGUCUAAUACCGGAUACGACGCAUCUCCGCAUGGGGUGUGCGUGGAAAGCUCUGGCGAUGCAGGAUGAACCCGCGGCCUAUCAGCUUGUUGGUGGGGUGAUGGCCUACCAAGGCGACGACGGGUAGCCGG
rnacentral:rRNA from 1 species